rnacentral:lncRNA from 1 species
AGGCCUAAUUUGUGAGUGGACUUUUGUUUUAAAUAAAAUGCAUGCUAGAGUUCAUGGUUGAACAAUAAUUGUUGCGGAAUAUUUUGACGUCAUUUUAAUUUGACGAAUUUUAUUUCUCUUGGAGAGUUACCGAAAAUGGGAUUUUCGGUAGAUAUAAAUAUGUAUUUAUGAGAGAGUAUGUAUAUAAAAUGCUAGCUAGCCAUAUGUGUCCGUCCACCUUAAUGGCGUAGCAUAUAGCCGCAUUAUGGUGUGACGUAAGCGUUGGACGUGAGCGUAGUAGCCCUAUAUGAGUGUUUAAUUCACAUAGGGGGUAUGGACACAUAUUUAUACACCCGUCUGUCCACCUUAAUGGCGUAGUGUAGUACCGCAUUAAGGCGUGACGUGAGCGUUGGACGCGAGCGUAGUAGCCCUAUAUAGAUCCAUGAAUUUAUAUAGGGAGUAUGGACGAGUGUAAAUACAUACAUAUAUUAUAGAGUCUGAGAAGCUCAAUAUUUUAUGAGAUAAAAGUUUUAUCGCUUGCGGCAUGACGUGUCGCGUAACCGGGGUCAAACAACUUCAAUUUAAUUACCCUGCAAUCGUAGUAAUAUAGACAAGUAGGGAUCGUUCUAGCCGGGGAAACCAAAGGGCAAUCAAAAGAAGAUAAACCAAACAACUUAUAAACAAGUAUUCACAUAUAUACAUCGAAAUAUUGGGGGCUUAAGAUUGAUUAAUUCUAACAAAUAAUCUACUGAAAAUUAAACCUAAGAUUAUUAUAUACAAGUGAUCAACAUACUCAUGCAACACAUAACACGAAAAACCAUCAAGAACACAUAACCACUUCAUGCAAGGCCGGGCAGCAACGUUCAAAUUAUCCUAGACUCUAACCAAUUCCGAUUCUAAUUAUAGCCUUUGCGGUUAUCUAAUUGUUAAGACUCCUCAAGUAUUUAGAACCAUCUUUGCGCUUGAUCCUAAACAUGAAUGCUAACUCAUUUAAAGACACGUUGCGUAGAGAUUAAACAAGAAAACAC